GAUGAACGCUGGCGGCGUGCCUAAUACAUGCGAGUCGAGCGAACAGACGAGGAGCUUGCUCCUCUGACGUUAGCGGCGGACGGGUGAGUAACACGUGGAUAACCUACCUAUAAGACUGGGAUAACUUCGGGAAACCGGAGCUAAUACCGGAUAAUAUAUUGAACCGCAUGGUUCAAUAGUGAAAGACGGUUUUGCUGUCACUUAUAGAUGGAUCCGCGCCGCAUUAGCUAGUUGGUAAGGUAACGGCUUACCAAGGCAACGAUGCGUAGCCGACCUGAGAGGAUGAUCGGCCACACUGGAACUGAGACACGGUCCAGACUCCUACGGGAGGCAGCAGUAGGGAAUCUUCCGCAAUGGGCGAAAGCUUGACGGAGCAACGCCGCGUGAGUGAUGAAGGUCUUCGGAUCGUAAAACUCUGUUAUUAGGGAAGAACAAAUGUGUAAGUAACUAUGCACGUCUUGACGGUACCUAAUCAGAAAGCCACGGCUAACUACGUG
rnacentral:rRNA from 1 species